GCCACUUUAGCUCAGUUGGUAGAGCGUCUCACUCGUAAUGAGAAGGUCGACAGUUCUAUUCUGUCAAGUGGCU
rnacentral:tRNA from 1 species